rnacentral:rRNA from 1 species
AGUGAACGCUGGCGGUAGGCCUAACACAUGCAAGUCGAACGGCAGCACAGUAAGAGCUUGCUCUUACGGGUGGCGAGUGGCGGACGGGUGAGGAAUACAUCGGAAUCUACUUUUUCGUGGGGGAUAACGUAGGGAAACUUACGCUAAUACCGCAUACGACCUACGGGUGAAAGCAGGGGAUCUUCGGACCUUGCGCGAUUGAAUGAGCCGAUGUCGGAUUAUCUAGUUGGCGGGGUAAAGGCCCACCAAGGCGACGAUCCGUAGCUGGUCUGAGAGGAUGAUCAGCCACACUGGAACUGAGACACGGUCCAGACUCCUACGGGAGGCAGCAGUGGGGAAUAUUGGACAAUGGGCGCAAGCCUGAUCCAGCCAUACCGCGUGGGUGAAGAAGGCCUUCGGGUUGUAAAGCCCUUUUGUUGGGAAAGAAAAGCAGCAGGUUAAUACCCCGCUGUCCUGACGGUACCCAAAGAAUAAGCACCGGCUAACUUCGUG